UCCUCCUUUCCUUAAUUUCUAUAUUUUUUCUUUAUUUUCCCAUCCUCACGAGUCCCAAUCAAUUGGGAGGCUUCGAACGACCGAAACGAAUGUGGGGUGGGCAAACCCCUAGUAGACCGCCAUCCAGAAGGCCGAUGCUAUCGCCGCCGCCCUAUGAAUCCUCUUUGCCGACGAGUCUAAUGAGACCUCAAUACAAAGGAUGUGGAUGGCCAGAUGGCCCUACACUUUGCGACCAACUUAAGUGAAGAGUGGAUCAGAUGGCAGUGAUCAUAGCAAACAUGGGGUGGGUGGAGAGGGUACGAUCAUAGGUGCGAGCAUGGUGGAGGAAGAAAGUUGAUUUUGCAUCGCAUAGUCCCAUUGAUUUUCCAUGCACUAGGUUCGGAGGAGUGCAUCCGAAUGCUAGUGGCACUCGGAGCAAACAUAGGGCGAGCAGAGGGUACGGUCGCAGCACAGAUGUGCCAAAGGUGGAGCAUUGAUUUUCCAUUGCAUGGUCCCAUUGAUUUUCUAUGUAUGAAUCAUAGAGCAAAAGAAAAAAAGAAAAAAUAUUUUUGAAGGUCCGACUCUUCACAUGAAUCACAAAG
rnacentral:lncRNA from 1 species